UAAGGAAUAUUGCUCAAUGGGAGAAAUCCUGAAGCAGCAACGCCGCGUGGAGGAUGAAGGGUCUAUGACUUGUAAACUCCUGUAAAGAAGGAAAAAAUUCCCAUUUGAUGGGAGAUGAUGGUACUUCUGGAGUAAGCCCCGGCUAACUACGUGCCAGCAGCCGCGGUAAUACGUAGGGGGCAAGCGUUGUCCGGAUUUACUGGGUGUAGAGGGUGCUCAGGCGGAUUUGUAAGUCAGAGGUGAAAUCUUACAGCUUAACUGUGAAACUGCCUUUGAUACUGCAAGCCUAGAGUAUGGAAGAGAGUGAUGGAAUAUCUGGUGUAGCAGUGAAAUGCGUAGAUAUCAGAUAGAACACCAAUGGCGAAGGCAGUCACUUGGUCCAUUACUGACGCUAAAGCACGAAAGCGUGGGUAGCAAACA
rnacentral:rRNA from 1 species